AUUGAACGCUGGCGGCAUGCCUUACACAUGCAAGUCGAACGGUAACGGGCCUUCGGGUGCCGACGAGUGGCGAACGGGUGAGUAAUACAUCGGAACGUGCCCGAUCGUGGGGGAUAACGAGGCGAAAGCUUUGCUAAUACCGCAUACGAUCUACGGGUGAAAGCAGGGGACCGCAAGGCCUUGCGCGGACGGAGCGGCCGAUGGCAGAUUAGGUAGUUGGUGGGAUAAAAGCUUACCAAGCCGACGAUCUGUAGCUGGUCUGAGAGGAUGAUCAGCCAAACUGGGACUGAGACACGGCCCAGACUCCUACGGGAGGCAGCAGUGGGGAAUUUUGGACAAUGGGCGCAAGCCUGAUCCAGCCAUGCCGCGUGCAGGAUGAAGGCCUUCGGGUUGUAAACUGCUUUUGUACGGAACGAAAAGCCUUCUUCUAAUACAGGGGGGUCAUGACGGUACCGUAAGAAUAAGCACCGGCUAACUACGUGCCAGCAGCCGCCGUAA
rnacentral:rRNA from 1 species